CGAGUCUUAACUGGGCGUUAAGUUGCAGGGUAUAGACCCGAAACCCGGUGAUCUAGCCAUGGGCAGGUUGAAGGUUGGGUAACACUAACUGGAGGACCGAACCGACUAAUGUUGAAAAAUUAGCGGAUGACUUGUGGCUGGGGGUGAAAGGCCAAUCAAACCGGGAGAUAGCUGGUUCUCCCCGAAAGCUAUUUAGGUAGCGCCUCGUGAAUUCAUCUUCGGGGGUAGAGCACUGUUUCGGCUAGGGGGUCAUCCCGACUUACCAACCCGAUGCAAACUACGAAUACCGAAGAAUGUUAUCACGGGAGACACACGGCGGGUGCUAACGUCCGUCGUGAAGAGGGAAACAACCCAGACCGCCAGCUAAGGUCCCAAAGUCAUGGUUAAGUGGGAAACGAUGUGGGAAGGCCCAGACAGCCAGGAUGUUGGCUUAGAAGCAGCCAUCAUUUAAAGAAAGCGUAAUAGCUCACUGGUCGAGUCGGCCUGCGCGGAAGAUGUAACGGGGCUAAACCAUG
rnacentral:rRNA from 1 species